rnacentral:rRNA from 1 species
CAGCCGCCGCGGUAAUACCGGCGGCCCGAGUGGCGGUCACUAUUAUUGUGCUUAAAGCGUCCGUAGCCGGGUUGGGAAGUCCUCCGGGAAAUCUGGCCGCUUAACGGUCAGAAUGCCGGAGGAUACUCCCAGCCUAGGGAGCGGGAGAGGCCGAGGGUAUUCCCGGAGUCGGGGUGAAAUCCUAUAAUCCCGGGAGGGCCACCUGUGGCGAAGGCGCUCGGCUGGAACGCGUCCGACGGUGAGGGACGAAGGCCAGGGGAGCAAACCGGAUUAGAUACCCGGGUAGUCCUGGCUGUAAACGAUGCGGACUUUGUGUCGGACAAGCUAUGAGCUUGUCCGGUGCCGGAGGGAAACCGUUAAGUCCGCCGCCUGGGGAGUACGGCCGCAAGGCUGAAACUUAAAGGAAUUGGCGGG